rnacentral:lncRNA from 1 species
AAGUUUAUGAACUGCAAAAUUGCAUAUCAAAUCAUCAAUGUCAUCAUCAUGAGCCUGACAUUCUUAUUAGUUUGAAAAAUCUUGAAAUCGAAAGUGUUUAUUUAACAAGAUAUAUGCACAAAGUCACUAGCAUCGUUCAUCAUCAAUUUUCAAGAUCCUUAGUUAAAUUAUUGAAAUUUUAUAAUUAUUUACAAAACCACUCUAUUAAAUAUACAAAACUUUUGACGUACUGACAACUACCAUUACUGGUUAAUUAUAUCAUUUUGCAGAAAACCGUAAGAUUCUCUGAUGAAAAAUAUUGCAUGGCCAAGUUGCCGCAAUAUGGUCCAUUCCACACCACAAGAUGCGGCAACAAGGAAAAGGAAAGUAUUAAUCAAUUAUUCAAUUGUAAGGUGUAACAUGUAGAAAAGUCUUCACCUAAUGAAAGAAGAAAGUUCCAAAAAUGUGGUGUGCCCUUAACCUAACUGAUAAUCCAUCAUAGCUCCAUACAUGGCAAGACAGCUAUCAUUAAUUUAAAUAUACGUUUUUGUUACAGUAUAUCUAUAUUUACCCCAUAUUUGACGGCACAAAUCACCUGCUCCACAUCAAUUAAUUUAUUAUUUAGUCAGAUAUAUUUUGAUACAGACAACGAUCCUGCUCUCAUUAUCUAAAUAGAAGAUAUUACACUUGAGGUGAAAGUGAAACAGUUCUGUAAGCAUUAACCAGCUUACUGUACAAAAAUGGUAAAUGCAAAUGGUAAAGCAUUCAAACAUUCUACAAGCAAUAUUAUACUUAUAAAGUUAUGACUAUUAUACUUAUAACAACUAGAGUAUGUUUAAUAACUCACCAUAGAAAAUGAAUUUUACCAAUCUAGUUUUUGAAUAUUCACUCCUGAAUAUGAAUUUCUUGUAUUAUUAUGUUGAAAAGA